rnacentral:rRNA from 1 species
GACGAGGGGUCCUAGCGUUGUUCGGAAUCAUUGGGCGUAAAGCGUGUGUAGGCUGCCAUUCAAGUCAGUUGUGAAAUCCCCGGGCUUAACCCGGGAAGUGCUUCUGAUACUGUUUGGCUUGAGUACUGGAGAGGCUAGUAGAAUUCCUGGUGUAGUGGUGAAAUGCGUAGAUAUCAGGAGGAAUACCGAUGGCGAAGGCAGGUCUCUGGGCUGACACUGACGCUCAUGCACGAAAGCGUGGGGAGCAAACAGG